rnacentral:tRNA from 1 species
CGGGGCGUAGCGCAGCCUGGUAGCGCGCUUCCUUGGGGUGGAAGAGGUCGAGUGUUCAAAUCACUUCGCUCCGACCA